rnacentral:rRNA from 1 species
ACGCACGCUGGCGGCAUGCUUAACCCAUGCAAGUCGAACGGAAAGGCCCUGCUUUUGUGGGGUGCUCGAGUGGCGAACGGGUGAGUAACACGUGAGUAACCUGCCCUUGACUUUGGGAUAACUUCAGGAAACUGGGGCUAAUACCGGAUAGGAGCUCCUGCUGCAUGGUGGGGGUUGGAAAGUUUCGGCGGUUGGGGAUGGACUCGCGGCUUAUCAGCUUGUUGGUGGGGUAGUGGCUUACCAAGGCUUUGACGGGUAGCCGGCCUGAGAGGGUGACCGGCCACAUUGGGACUGAGAUACGGCCCAGACUCCUACGGGAGGCAGCAGUGGGGAAUAUGGCACAAUGGGCGGAAGCCUGAGGCAGCAACGCCGCGUGCGGGAUGACGGCCUUCGGGUUGUAAACCGCUUUGGCCUGUGACGAAGCGGGAGUGACGGUAAUGGGUAAAGAAGCACCGGCUAACUACGUG